AUGCCAUUCCAUGAUUGCAUUGGAGCUAUAAAUGAUACUCAUGUUGUUGCCAGAGUGCCUUGGUCACAAGCUAUAGCAUAUAGAGGGUGGAAGCACUACACAAGCCAUAAUGUGCUAGCUGCUAUUGACUUCGAUCUGAAGUUCACAUAUGUGUUGCUUGGCUGGGAAGGAUCAUCACAUGAUGCUAACAUUCUCAGUGACAGCGUGAGUCGUCAUGAUGGCAUCAACAUCCCCGAUGGCAAGUUCUACCUUGGAGAUGCUGGCUACGCAUGUCGGACAUGUGUUCUUCCACCCUUCGGGAAAACCAUGUACCAUCUCAACGAGUUUGCUAGUAAGAACUAUCCUAGGACUCCCCGGGAACUUUUCAACCUCAGACACUCCAGCCUUAGAGUGACUGUUGAGAGGGCCUUUGGAGCUCUGGAGAACAUGUUUAAGAUCCUGGAUCAGAAGCCAUUCCACCCUUACCCUAACUAGGUGAAGUUUGUUCUUGCAUGUUGCAUCAUUCACAACUGGAUCCUGCAAUGGGGAGUUGAUGGAUUUGUGCCGAUGGAGCAAUAUGUGACUCCUGAUGAGGUAAUCAGCUCUGUCCAUGGUGUGGAGGCGCUCGACAACGAAGUGUGGAAGAACAAAAGGUUGAAGUGUGCUCAGGCAAUGUGGGAUAACAGAGGUCAAACAAGGAUUUGA
rnacentral:rRNA from 1 species